UUUAGUUAGUGAAAAUCCCAGGGUUCAGUUCAAGGAAAACAAACAAUCCCAAUGGGUGUUUUUUGACCCAGCUGUUAUUAAGACCGUUGACAACCUCUUAUAGUCAUCACUAAAAUUCUGCUGGGUAUAGAGGUCAGAUCCUUAAAGCUUGUAUUGUCCUUAGCUUUCAUUCUUCUCUUCCUCUCUUUUUCUCUGUCUCUGACAUACAACUGACCACAGUGAAGCUUUCUUUGGCAGUUUGCUCAUGCUUGUUAUUUGUCUAUCUAUCUCCCCUCCCGUGCCUUUCAGCACCCCAGUUUCUUUUCCAGAUAAACAGCGAUCCUCAGGGAAAGCAGAGAGUUGGAGUUGAGAGAAGCAGAGGGAGGAUUAGUCCCAGAGGAUGCCAUGAUCAGCUGAGUUCUCAGUUUGAAGUUCUGGAGCUGGAGGGCUGUAUUCCCUGGUGGACUAGAAAUAACUGCAGCAGCUGGAAACAAAGAGGAGAAGCUGGAACCACAAGACCAUCAGAUCUGCAUCGCCUGUGUUUAACAUCUGUGAGCUCAGAAAUGGAGGGAAGAAAGAGAUUCUCAGAUUCUCACAGCUAAAAAUCUGCCGCAAGACAAAUGAGGGGCUGCGGUAGGACUGCUUGGAUGAAGUUGCCCUUUUCUGCGUACAACUGAAUCCUACCUGCCUGUGCAGAGGUAUCCCCAUGGCACCAGAUAAAUAAAAAACUUCUCACCUCCCUCGCCAUUCCCCGCAGCCAGCCGGUGAGCCAGGGCCAGCGGAGUAUUAUUAAAACUGCUCCAUCACUGGCUGUAAUGGGAGCGUCUGUAUUUUCUCCCUCGCCCGUAUCCCUGACAUGACAUAAUGCCUGCCCUCACCAAGACGCUAUAACACCGAGGUGUCCCACUCGCCUGCUGAAUAACCUCAGUAACUUCUGCCCUCGCCAGCUCUGCCAGUGCCCCCUCUUGCCUUGCAGCCCCCC